UAACAAGGAUUCCCCUAGUAACUGCGAGUGAAGCGGGAAAAGCUCAAAUUUAAAAUCUGUCAGCCUUUGGCUGUCCGAGUUGUAAUCUAGAGAAGUGUUAUCCGCGCUGGACCGUGUACAAGUCUCCUGGAAUGGAGCGUCAUAGAGGGUGAGAAUCCCGUCUUUGACACGGACUGCCAGGGCUUUGUGAUGCGCUCUCAAAGAGUCGAGUUGUUUGGGAAUGCAGCUCAAAAUGGGUGGUAAAUUCCAUCUAAAGCUAAAUAUUGGCGAGAGACCGAUAGCGAACAAGUACCGUGAGGGAAAGAUGAAAAGAACUUUGGAAAGAGAGUUAAACAGUACGUGAAAUUGCUGAAAGGGAAACGCUUGAAGUCAGUCGCGUUGUCCAGGGAUCAACCUUGCUUUUGCUUGGUGUACUUUCUGGUUAACGGGUCAGCAUCAAUUUUGACUGUUGGAAAAAGAUCAGGGGAAUGUGGCAUCUUCGGAUGUGUUAUAGCCCUUGGUUGCAUACAAUGGUUGGGAUUGAGGAACUCAGCACGCCGCAAGGCCGGGUUUUAACCACGUACGUGCUUAGGAUGCUGGCAUAAUGGCUUUAAUCGACCCGUCUUGAAACACGGACCAAGGAGUCUAACAUGCCUGCGAGUGUUUGGGUGGAAAACCCGAGCGCGUAAUGAAAGUGAAAGUUGAGAUCCUUGUCAUGGGGAGCAUCGACGCCCGGACCAGACCUUUUGUGACGGUUCCGCGGUAGAGCAUGUAUGUUGGGACCCGAAAGAUGGUGAACUAUGCCUGAAUAGGGUGAAGCCAGAGGAAACUCUGGUGGAGGCUCGUAGCGAUUCUGACGUGCAAAUCGAUCGUCAAAUUUGGGUAUAGGGGCGAAAGACUA
rnacentral:rRNA from 1 species